CCCUGGAGUUGUGAUUUAAGCUUAUAGAACUUUUCAAUCUGAUGUCUCGUUCUUAUUAGGUCUUUUGCCAUUACCCUCACAGCUCCCAUCUGCCCUUGUUUAGCAUUCUUCUUUAUCUCCACAAUCAGCUUCUUUUCUUGAGCUUGAAGACCUUGUCUUUCCCGUUCUAUUUCUCUAAUCGACUUAUCUAUCAUCCUCUUAUUCUCCCUCAGAAGCUCUGCAGGAGUCUUCCUCCUCUCAAAGAGAAAACUCAUUUUCUAUCUUCUUCGUAAAAACUCUCUCUAUCUCUUUUCCCUUUCCCUUCUUCAAUGGAAGAUUGCUUCGCUUCGCUGUGUAUUG
rnacentral:misc_RNA from 1 species